rnacentral:rRNA from 1 species
AGAGUUUGAUCCUGGCUCAGGACGAACGCUGGCGGCGUGCCUAACACAUGCAAGUCGAGCGGUUUCAUGUUUAACACUGAAUAUUCUAAAUAUGCUGGUUACAGCCAGCGUCUUGCGAAGUUAGCAAGCAAGACGCAUUUUCAAAAAGUACCAACACAUAGCGUUGAGUAAUGGAUUGAAGUAACAGAGUGCAUACAUAAUGAGAGUAUUGAGUGUUAAACAUGAGAUAGCGGCGGACGGGUGAGUAACGCGUGGGCAACCUGCCUUUCACAGGGGGAUAACACAGGGAAACUUGUGCUAAUACCGCAUAACACAUCGAGGUAGCAUUACCAUGAUGUCAAAGGAGCAAUCCAGUGAAAGAUGGGCCCGCGUCCAAUUAGCUAGUUGGUGGUGUAACGGACCACCAAGGCGACGAUUGGUAGCCGAACUGAGAGGUUGAUCGGCCACAUUGGGACUGAGACACGGCCCAGACUCCUACGGGAGGCAGCAGUGGGGAAUAUUGCACAAUGGGGGAAAGCCCUGAUGCAGCAACGCCGCGUGAAGGAUGAAGGUUUUCGGAUUGUAAACUUCUUU